GGAAACGCGUUGAUCCUCUCAGCAUAAAAUACCCGGGAAGGAGCGCGGAGCAGAAUGGUCCGGAGCGCAGCUUUUUUUGCGCGCGCGCGCGGGCGGGUCGACGGGCCGGUCAGACGGCAUUGCAAAAGCGAGGACUCCGCCCGGCCCCUGCUGGACUUUUUGGGACCGUCCAGCAGAGCCAAGCGAGACCACCUGUCCGGCGAGGCCGCCUUCUGAAGUCGGCCAGAGGCCAACGACCUGCCUCGGGCUCCCAUCCAGGAGGUGGAGGCAUAGACCUCUCCUGAUAUGGCUCUUGGCAACUGGAACUUAGAGGCAAGCUGCCCCCAACCGGAAAGUAACACUGAGUCCUCAAGAUUAACAGACCUUAUGAAAUGUGUCUGUCAUGAAUUUGUCCUACUUCUUAAUGUGGCCAUCCAUGUUGCCGGUCAUCAUCACAUCUUGUGGUAAUGAAUCCAUGACGCACUGUGUGAAGAUAAAGGUCUGAACCUUGAAAAGCAAAAUAAGAGUCUUCAGAGGGACGCGAAUCCAGCUGCUGAGACUUUGAGAUGGGUUUAUUGUCCUUCAUUGGGGUUUAUCUACUUGCAGAAUUUAAGUGUGCAGCGUUACUGUCACUGAAAUGAUCUUCCCACCCUUGCUGUGUCAUGCACAUUGCUACCCUCUGUGGGGUGCUGUCCUCUGUGCGUCCGUGUCUCUCCAGCCACAGAAUUUACCACCACCUAUUUUGCUUUCGGUGAGUUACCAGCUUCUGCGAAGGUUUAAGAAUGGGCAACGGAAUCCCAAAAGCAGCUGUUUUGCUCUGUUUUCCAGCUGCACUUGGAUUCCGUUCCUUGCUCUUUUGCCCACUUCUCCAGGAUUUCAUUCUUUCUCUUAUGGUGUAGCAAACUGUUUGGGAACCACUGGAAGAAACAAGAACUUAAAAAAUAGUAAUUCUGUUCAAUAAUGAGAACUAAAAACUUGUUAUUUUUUAAAAUGAAAGGCAAUAAAUUCAACAUACACCAAAAAAGUUUGAGCUGGCUACCCACCAAGAAUAACAGAUGCCAUAGGAUUAUUUGUUCAGUGGUAACAAAUUAGACCUUGAUUUAAAGAGAGUGAUAGUUCUUAAUCCAGGAGGAAGUAAAUGUUGGGUACAAGCAUGAAACAACAACAACAAUGGUAGUAGUAAUAGUAAUAAAAUAUGUUUUCCUCCUGGUUGAUUCAAUCUUGGGAAUAAUCUGAAAGGUGAAUUUUGCAGCUGUUCCUUCAUGAGAUGUGCAGUCAAUUUAAGGAAUUAAUCUCAAAGCUGUUGCUGUUGAGGGUGGCCUUCCCUACAUGUGUUAGGACUGCAAUUCUUAGCUAUUUGGAGAGAAGAUAAUCUUUGCCAUAUAACCAAAUAGUGGACAAUUAGCCUCUCAGUGGUAAUUCCCCAGGAUGGAGAACUUAUUUAAAAGCCAAAGCCUCGCUUGAUUGGGGAUGGCUAUCCUGUUGCACAGGGCCUUGUGGACUUCCAGAUAGGACACCACAGUAUGUUGUUGUGGACACAUGACAUUUAGUCUAAAGACUGCUUUGUUUAGCAACAACAAUCCCGGUCCCAGUUAGGGUCAUUAAAUGAGGACUACCUGUACUUCCAGUGGAGUAUUAGUGAAAGAAUGUCCUUUCUGUUGAAGGUGGGAGCUUUGAUAGGAGGUGAAAGGGAGCAGGCUGAAUAUGGUACUGUUGAUAACUUUUUAAGUUAUAGCAUUGUGCGUGUUUGUGGAGGAGGAACUCCUUCGGGUUUCCUCAUACUUUUCUGUGCAGUGGUGAUAAAAAGCUACUUCCUGGACAGAAGUCGGUAGAGCUGGGCCUGCAGAUGAGUUUCCCUUUACAGAAUGGUAAGGCAAAAUGAGCAGGAUGUACUGAAGCAGGCAUGAAUUUUCCCAAGUUCAGACAAAGCAGAAUAAUGAGUUUGGAAAUGGCCUAGCCGAGUGACUGGGAAGAUAGUAUUUAUUUUAUUUGUCUUUUCUUGGCCUUAGAAACUGAGCCAGAUCAGAUCUGGUUACUCUAAAGAAUAGCUGGACAAGGCUAGACUCUGAAGCGGGGGGAAAAAAUUCUCCAAAGAAGGUAGUGGUAAACCACUUCCACAUUGCUGCCAGGAAAACAAUGUGAAUGUGAUCGCAUAAUCAAGGGAUUGGGGGUCAUUGAUUAAUUAUUUCUAGGUAAUCUCAAGAAUAAUCUGAAAGGUGGUUUUUGCUGCAUCAGGAGAGGCCAAUCUGGAUUUGGAUACCUCGGAAGAGGCCCUAUGCUUAUGGGGAGGUGAAAGGAGUUUCUUCAACAUGUCUUUGUUUUAUUUAUUUGUCCAAUUUCUAUAGCCUCCCUUCACACCAAAUAAGUGACAACAAAGCUAAUCAGUCAAUAAAUACCUAAAACCAUUACCAUUAUUAACAGCACAUUAAAUCCAUAAAAAAAACCUACAAAAAGAGAACAUAAGGCUCUAUUCUCACUAACAAAAUAUAACACACUACCCUUGGAGGAAGAGAGGCGCAAAACUAGGAGAUGGGAAGGUGCUUUCGAUCAUGCCAAUUUGUUGUACAAAAGUGUCCUCAUCAAAGUGUGUUUUACUCAGAGGUGGGAUUCAACCGAUUUUGUCCGGUUCGGGCAAACUAUGGGAGGCUCCGCCCACCCACUCUGACAUAAUGCACGAGUACUGCAGGGGUGAAAUGCUCCUGGUUCGGACCGGAUCACCCAAUCCAGUAGCGAUGACGGCAGGGGGUUCAGAGAACUGGUAGCAAAAAUCCCUGUGCGCCGCCCAAUGCUCAGUUGAGCCAUGCAAUCAUCAGGCUUUUUUUACUCUUAAAAACAUUUUUUUCUACAACCUCUUUGGCUGAAAAAAUGCUUUUAAAAGUUAAAAAAAAAAAAAAAGCCUCUGAUGAAGAGCCUCUGAUGAAAAGAAGCCUCUUCGGCUGAAGAGGUUGUAAAAGAAAUGCUUUUAAAAGAAAAAAAAAAGUUGGCCACGCCCACCCAGUCACAUUACCCCCCCCCCACUAAGCCACGCCCACAGAACCAGUAGUAACAAAUUUUACAUUUCACCAUUGGAGUACUGCGCAUAUACAGAAGGCCGUGCGCAUGCCCAGAGCACAUGUGUGCGCUCACAUUUGCAAACCGGUAGGGAAGGGAAGUGAAUCCCACCUCUGUCUUUACAAAAAUAAAAAUUGUGUAGGGAUACAUUUAUUUUCCUUCAUGAUCAGAAAUGCAGCCAGAUGCCUCUACUCUGCCAAAAGAAGACUAACCACCACUUCUUCCACCAUCCUGAGCCUCAUGUCCAAAUCUGAGCCCUGCAGGGAUACAUUUAAUUUUUCAACAAAGGGGGUUAUAUCCUUAAAAGUGCUACUGUUUCCUGCAUCCUUAUAAAGGAAGAAAAGCUCUUGCACCCAAUAGCCCCAUGUUAACAGAAACUUGAAGAGAGUUCUGUAACAAGGUAGUCCUCGACUUGCGACUGGUCACUUAGUGAUCAUUCAAAGUUAUAAUGGCCCUCCGCAGGGCUAUUUACAGCCCAGUUUCAAAAUUCUGACUCCCAGUCAUGUGAUCAUAUUUUGGGUUGCUUGGUAACUGGGCAAAAUUUAGAGCUGUUUGCAGGGCCCUGUCGUGAUGAUUUACAAUGUUUUGUAAGAACUGGUGUUUAUUUCUGCUUUCCAGCAAAAAAAAAAAAAAGUCCAUUGGGUGCAAAGAGUUUGCUUAAUGGGUCCCAGGUUCGCUUAACAGCUGUCACGAAAGAGGUUGUAAAAUCAGGCAUAGUCACGUGGUGACACAACUACCAGCAUGAGUUAUGAUCGUAAUUCUGGGUUCAAUUACGAUCAUAAGUCCAGGGCUACCUGUAUGUCUACCUACCUGUAUUUCCUCUCUCUAGCUUGCAUCAUAAAUAGUUAUGGAUUCUUGUUCUGGAAUAAAAGAGAUGGUGACGCCUAUAGAUUUUGCUGAACAACAAUUCUCCAUGAGGUUGAUAGGGAAGGCUAAGGCUAUUGUGAGAACUGACAUCUUUCUACUCCUUUUACAGAGUCAGGAGGAGAAUGGCUGAAACUUCUUACCAAAAUGGGGAAAACCCAGUGCUUGUUCCUAACAUUUUGUGACAAGAAGGAAUCCCGAGCGUAGAAAUUACUUCAGGGUUGCACACCAUGAUUUAUUUCUUUUUCAUGGAUUUUCAUUUUUUUUUCUUCCCCAAACAAAUUGAGAUGAUCCUAAAGAAAAAGAAAGUUAAGUCCAGUUGCCUCUUGAAAAAGCACCUUUGGGACAACCAUGACCUGGAUGACUGAGAAUCUCCAUAGACAAAUUGAGAUGACGUGAGAUAAAAUUGUAAUUCCCCAAAAUGGAAGGCAUUUCUGUCCAUGUGGGGUGGGGGAUCAGAAGGUAUAGACCCCCCUGGUUAAACUCAAGGCCCGGGGGCCGGAUCUGGCCCAUGGGGCUGCCCUGGAAACAGCAAAGGUGAAACAGCCUGUGGUGAAAAUUUCCAUUUUUGCUGGCAGAGGUUUCCGAAAAUGGAGCUUGGGAGCCCAUUUUUGUUGGCAGAGUGUUCGGGCCCCCACAGGCACCCCCAACACGAGUAAUGUCAAGCUGGCCACACACACCCAGACCCCCCAAGGUCAAACACAACCCUGAUGCGGCCCUCAAAUGAAAUUGAGUUUUGACACCCUUGGUAUAGAUUAAAAGGCCCCUUGGGCAAACUCUAGCCCAAUGGGAACUGGGAGGAGGGUUGUUGUUUUUUUAAUUCAAACUUUGACUGAUUAAUGACAAGAUAUGUGCUUCAGAUUAGCCUUGUUGAGUUUGGUGUUCUCCAAAUGGAUUGAACGCUAUCUUCCCGCCUGUAAAAUGAGGUCUGAUACCUCUGGAGGACAUUAAGUUGGGGUAAGUAGCCUCAAAGCCCACUUUUUUUUUUUUUGAACGGAUGUUUUGUUGGGCUUGUUGAGUCAAUUUACACGAGACAUCAUUGCAACAGAUCCAGAAUGGUUUUUCAGUGUCUGCCUCUUCAUUUGACAUAUUUCACUAGUGUUGCUUCUCUUCUUAGGAAUAGGUAGACAAGGUAAAAAGCAGGAAGAGGGAUGCAUGCAUGUGGGAACACCUCCAUCGUGGAUCAGAUACCUAGAUGCUCAGGUCUGGAGGAAGAUUUCGGGAGGAGAAAUUGCCAAGGAAUGACACGAUCACUCCCGCUGAGCGAGUGGACACAUAGCCACGGGGCUGUCGUGUCUGUCCUGAGCUUUUUCCAAUAUCCCAGAUGAUACCACGAAAGGGGCUGGAAGCAUCUGCAGUUGUGUGAUGCUAUUUGUGUCUGGUCUCUUGUUUACAGUAGAAUAACUGGGAGGAAAGAGGUUGUGUUCAGACGACACUCAGUUAGUUAAUCCAGUUGCUUGUUUGUAUACUACCCUGAACCAUACACCAAUAAAUUGCAUUUUAGCCUAAUGUGUGAACAGAGUCGUCAUAACCAUCUAGAUACAAUUUUCCCUACAGUCGUUUUCAUAUUGGUGAUUUUUAGCAUCUUGCAGUGUUACAGGUAGUCCUUGACUUAUGUUCAUUGAAAAAUCAUUUGAAAUUAAAAUGGUGUUGAAAAAAGAAACUUAGAACCCAUUCUCAAAGUUACAACCAUCGCUUCACCCUUGUGGUCACAAUUGCAAUUUGGAUGUUUGGCAAUCACUGUGCUUUUGUGAUAGAUGCAGCAUCCAGUGGUCAUGUUAUGAUUGGUGACCUUCCCAACCAACUUCCAAUAAGCAAGAUCAAUGAGGGAAGCUGGAUUUACUUAAUGACCACAUGAGUUAUUUAACAACCACAUGGUUUGCUUAAUGACUGCCAUAAAACAUGGUCGUAAAAUCAGGUCUGGUAAUACGACUUGCUUAGCAAUUGAUGAUAAUACUAUAAUGCUUGUAUUUUUAUAAUUGAUACGUCACAAUAGCACUAAACAAUGCUAUAAAGUGGCAUAAAUCACUAUUUUGGAAGAGCUUCAAAUUGCAUAAUGUUACACAAGGAAAAGAGAAGCAAAAACCUUUAAGAGUUUUACCACUUUGGAUAUCAUGCCCAAGGCAAAUUUCUAGUUCCUUUCAUCAGAAAAUAUAAUUGCAGUCUACCCAAUAUUUCAUUGAUUUAAAAACAAAAAUAUUAUAAACAAUUAAGUGGGUGGGGGAAUAAAGUGGUUAAAUAUUUGAUCAAAUAUAUCCAAGUUUUCCAAUUUAUCCUGACUGGCUUAUAUACAGGCCAAAAUGGGAAUUAUCUUGUAACAUACAUGUUUGCUAAUAAAACAUUUGUCUUAAA